GAUGAACGCUAGCUACAGGCUUAACACAUGCAAGUCGAGGGGUAACGAGAGGAAAGCUUGCUUUCCUUGUCGACGACCGGCGCACGGGUGAGUAACGCGUAUCCAACCUGCCCCCAACUAGGGAAUAACCUUGCGAAAGUAAGACUAAUACCCUAUAAUUUCCUCAGAUGUCAUCUGACGAGGAAUAAAGAUUUAUCGGUUGUGGAUGGGGAUGCGUCUGAUUAGCUUGUUGGCGGGGUAACGGCCCACCAAGGCAACGAUCAGUAGGGGUUCUGAGAGGAAGGUCCCCCACAUUGGAACUGCGACACGGUCCAAACUCCUACGGGAGGCAGCAGUGAGGAAUAUUGGUCAAUGGGCGGAAGCCUGAACCAGCCAAGUAGCGUGCAGGAUGACGGCCCUAUGGGUUGUAAACUGCUUUUAUACAGGAAUAAAGUUAGCCACGUGUGGUUAUUUGUAGGUACUGUAUGGAUAAGGACCGGCUAAUUCCGUGCCAGCCGCCGCGGUAA
rnacentral:rRNA from 1 species